CAGUCGCCGCGGGAAUACGUAGGUGGCAAGCGUUGUCCGGAUUUAUUGGGCGUAAAGCGAGCGCAGGCGGUUUCUUAAGUCUGAUGUGAAAGCCCCCGGCUCAACCGGGGAGGGUCAUUGGAAACUGGGAAACUUGAGUGCAGAAGAGGAGAGUGGAAUUCCAUGUGUAGCGGUGAAAUGCGUAGAUAUAUGGAGGAACACCAGUGGCGAAGGCGGCUCUCUGGUCUGUAACUGACGCUGAGGCUCGAAAGCGUGGGGAGCAAACAGGAUUAGAUACCCCAGUAGUCCCUGUCUCUUAUAC
rnacentral:rRNA from 1 species